UACGUAGGGGGCAAGCGUUGUCCGGAUUUAUUGGGCGUAAAGCGCGUGUAGGCGGCCAGGUAGGUCCGCUGUGAAAACUCGGGGCUUAACCCCGAGCCUGCAGUGGAUACGGGCAGACUAGAGGUAGGUAGGGGAGAAUGGAAUUCCCGGUGUAGCGGUGAAAUGCGCAGAUAUCGGGAGGAACACCAGAGGCGAAGGCGGCUAGCUGGAUAGGCACUGACACUGAACUACGAAAGCGUGGGGAGCAAACAGG
rnacentral:rRNA from 1 species